rnacentral:rRNA from 1 species
UGGGGAAUAUUGGACAAUGGGCGCAAGCCUGAUCCAGCAAUGCCGCGUGAGUGAUGAAGGCCUUAGGGUUGUAAAGCUCUUUCGCACGCGACGAUGAUGACGGUAGCGUGAGAAGAAGCCCCGGCUAACUUCGUGCCAGCAGCCGCGGUAAUACGAAGGGGGCUAGCGUUGUUCGGAAUUACUGGGCGUAAAGGGCGCGUAGGCGGCCUGUUUAGUCAGAAGUGAAAGCCCCGGGCUCAACCUGGGAAUAGCUUUUGAUACUGGCAGGCUUGAGUUCCGGAGAGGAUGGUGGAAUUCCCAGUGUAGAGGUNAAAUUCGUAGAUAUUGGGAAGAACACCGGUGGCGAAGGCGGCCAUCUGGACGGACACUGACGCUGAGGCGCGAAAGCGUGGGGAGCAACAGGAUUAGAUACCCUGGUAGUCCACGCCGUAAACGAUGAAUGCUAGACGUCGGGGUGCAUGCACUUCGGUGUCGCCGCUAACGCAUUAAGCAUUCCGCCUGGGGAGUACGGCCGCAAGGUUAAAACUCAAAGGAAUUGAC